GUAUUUCUCUGUUACAGGAGGCUGUUUCUGCAUAUGUAGCCGCAGUAUUGCUUUCCUAGGGGCAUGACUGGGCCUUUAGUAAAUCCCCGUAUCUAUAAAAGUCAGCUACUAUAACAGGGCCGCACUGUAUAGUUAGCAAUAUAUCACGUGGCCGUUGUCAUUUCUAAUCCCACGGGCAGUAGAUUUUCUAGUAGCAGCUAGGCGUUCUUUACAGUGCUAGUUUCUCUAGACUUGUUUCUCGGGUUCCGGAUUUUUAAUGGUCUUAAUCAGGAAAGAUUUUAUAAUGAUUUAAAUCCAUUGUAAUCUUGGCAUGCACCUUUAAGUGAUUUUUCCCCCCUCCAAAUAUUACUCUCAGUGCCUUGAGACUGAGUAAGCUCCGGUGCCAACUUCACAGAGCCUUCUAUCCUUCCUUUCUCCUCCUGAAUUGGCAGCUAAAUUCUCUUUCAGGAAUUGACAGGAGAUACCCUUCCUGGACUGCCAGCAGGGCAGCUAAACACAAGGAGGUUGCCAGCAUCACCACUCUGAAUCUGUUGUUUUAACUCACAGACAUCCAGGAGAAUUUAAACUAUUGUUGUGGCUUUUGUGGAAGGUGUAUUUUUGAGCACCUUCAUCUAAAUGAAUUUACCCAUACUGAUUUCUUUUUUCUUUAUUUAUUUGGCUGUGUUGGGUCUUCACUGCUGCACACGAGCUUUCUCUAGUUGUGGUGAGCGGGGACUACUCUUCCAUGCGAUCAGUCCGCUUGAUUUUGAGUGGCUCAAGAUGGCCUCAGCUGUGUCAACAGUGUAGAGGAGAAUGAUCCAUUUUUCACUGACCAUAAGAGGAGGAUAUUUAUGCUUCAAAACUGAAUAUGGUGGUUUCGAUGGAAGGACUGGAUGUUCUGAAGGCAAGGAUCAUAUCUACUUUUUGGUCACUGUUUCUUCCAUGCCUGGCUAAAAGAAGAUGCUCAGUAAAUAUUUAUUAAAUUGAUCAAGUAAAGAAUGAGUGAGUGAUUUAGUGAGUGCAUCAAGAGAUCAAGACUGUACCUUCUGUUUUGGGCAGUAUUAUUAAGGACAGGCUUUGAGGAAGGAACAGAAGUCCAAAGCCCAUGCCAGCAUCCCCCUUCAGGAAUAGACUACACACGUCCUCUGUCUAAGGAGUUGUGGCAUUCUCCCCAUCUUUCUUAUCAACAGAGCUCAGGUUUUGUUCUGGGUAACAAUGCUCCCAGUUAAGAUGCACAGUCACCUGGCCUCCCCUGCUGUGAAGAUGGCCACAGGACACAGUUCUGGCUAAUAGUCUCUAUGUGGAGAGUUUUGCAGAGCUUCUGGAGAGACUUAACAGAGCCAGACUCAUCUGGAAUAUUUCUCUUUGCCCUUUCCCUUGGUUCCCACUUGGGUUGCAGGCAUUAUUAUUAUUAGAGCUAUGGGAGCCACCUUGCUACUAUGAGGGUGAAUUUGAUAGUUGAAGGUGGUGGAGAAGAAAGAUAAAAUUCUAGAUCCUUCAUGGCAUCGUUGAAUAGCUGCCCAGCUUUGCCUUCAUCUCGGCUUCUUAUUCUGUGAGAAUGAUAAGUCACUUUAUGUAACUGUAGUUGAGUAUUUUGUUACCUGUAGCCUAAUGCAAUAAUUAGGAAUUGGAUUCAGGAAUCAAAAGCAAAAGAUCUUACGUUCUUAACUGCUUUCUCAAUAAAAUCAAAGAAUAUUUGUUGAUCAACAAUGGAACAGUUAUGCCUGAAUCCUGCU